AGAGCCAGCCCUGACCUGCUGCCCCGCUGCCUCUCCCAGGGAGAUAGAAGAUUACAUGAACGAGCGAGUGCAGUUUGUGAUCACAGCCCAGGACUGGGACCCCAGCUUCGAGGAGGCGCUCCUGGAAAACCCUUCCCUGGCCUUCGUGCGUCCACGCUGGAUCUACAGCUGCAGCGAGCGGCAGAAGUGGCUGCCCUACCAGCUCUACGGCGUGGUGCCGCGGGCCUGACCCGGCCUGACCCGGCCCCCAGCCCAGCCCCCAGCCCAGCCCCAAUAAAGGCCUGUUGAGAGCG